AUGACCCGGUGCACCUGCAGGCGAGUGAUGAAGGCUCCUCUCCUCUCCUCUUCUUCAGGGGGUGACCGCGAGCGUGGAAGAGAGAGAGGGAGGGAGAGAGAGAGAGAGAAGAGGGGUAGUGGGCCCGAGCCUCGCGCGCGCGGGACCCGCCGGCGGUGGCCAGCUCGUGGGGCACGGAAAAUGCUUUCCCCUCCCCCUCCCCUAGAUUUUGCUGUCGGGGAAUCUCUCCACCUCCUCCCCUCCCCUUUUCUCCAUUUUCCUUCCCUUUUCCCCGGUCCGUCCGACGCAGGAGCAGAGAAUCGCCACCGGUGGUACGACGGCGAUCCGCGCGUCGUGGCGCCACGCGUUGCAUCAUAUCAGAUCAUCGGCCAGUAA
rnacentral:rRNA from 1 species